UGAUCCUGGCUCAGGAUGAACGCUAGCGGCAGGCCUAACACAUGCAAGUCGAGGGGCAUCGGGAUUGAAGCUUGCUUCAAUUGCCGGCGACCGGCGCACGGGUGCGUAACGCGUAUGUAACCUACCUAUAACAGGGGCAUAACACUGAGAAAUUGGUACUAAUUCCCCAUAAUAUUCGGAGAGGCAUCUCUCCGGGUUGAAAACUCCGGUGGUUAUAGAUGGACAUGCGUUGUAUUAGCUGGUUGGUGAGGUAACGGCUCACCAAGGCAACGAUACAUAGGGGGACUGAGAGGUUAACCCCCCACACUGGUACUGAGACACGGACCAGACUCCUACGGGAGGCAGCAGUGAGGAAUAUUGGUCAAUGGACGCAAGUCUGAACCAGCCAUGCCGCGUGCAGGAAGACGGCUCUAUGAGUUGUAAACUGCUUUUGUACGAGGGUAAACUCACCUACGUGUAGGUGACUGAAAGUAUCGUACGAAUAAGGAUCGGCUAACUCCGUGCCAGCAGCCGCGGUAAUACGGAGGAUUCAAGCGUUAUCCGGAUUUAUUGGGUUUAAAGGGUGCGUAGGCGGUUUGAUAAGUUAGAGGUGAAAUCCCGGGGCUUAACUCCGGAACUGCCUCUAAUACUGUUAGACUAGAGAGUAGUUGCGGUAGGCGGAAUGUAUGGUGUAGCGGUGAAAUGCUUAGAGAUCAUACAGAACACCGAUUGCGAAGGCAGCUUACCAAACUAUAUCUGACGUUGAGGCACGAAAGCGUGGGGAGCAAACAGGAUUAGAUACCCUGGUAGUCCACGCAGUAAACGAUGAUAACUCGUUGUCGGCGAUACACAGUCGGUGACUAAGCGAAAGCGAUAAGUUAUCCACCUGGGGAGUACGUUCGCAAGAAUGAAACUCAAAGGAAUUGACGGGGGCCCGCACAAGCGGAGGAACAUGUG
rnacentral:rRNA from 1 species